rnacentral:siRNA from 1 species
UGCAGGAUAUACUACGAUUGGA